AACUUUUCCUCCCCACGAUCUUCCUACAUCCAUACAUCAUAAGCAUCUACAUACAUACAUCAUGCUCCAUCAAAGUCACGAAUCCUUCACUGCCCAACUAACCUCAUUGCAAUUCCCCCAAAAAAUUACCUCCAAUUCACCUCAUGAGUAUCACCACUCACCCUCAAAUUUACCUAUAUAAGCUAACACCAUUUUCACUGCAUAACACAUCUUGAUACAAUAAAACUCACUAUGAAAACUCUGUUACAUCCACACUUUCAAACAUGCAAAAAUUCCCUACAAACUCUUGCGAAGUUCUCAACAACCACCAUAGAGAUAAAGGAGGAAGAAAGAUUCAAAAGAAAGAGAAGAAACAUGGGAAAUGGAAUAAGAAUAAGGAAGAGAGUAGUUGAGCUUACCUGAGGUGAUUCUUGGCCUCGUCGGUUGGCUCGCAGGAAGCCUGAUAAACGAAGAUUCCAACGAGGUAUUUGUUUCCAUCAUUUACUUCACUUAUUACAUGUCUUUUUAUGUGUUCUUUCACAUUUAUUGUUCCUUCUCCUUUUGAUUUAUGUAAAACUGUUGUAAUCGAAUCAAAUUAUAGAAAAGGGGGCUAGGGUUUUCAAUUAGGGCUAAGGGCGAUUUGCAUUUUAUAUUUUGAAUCUGUUUAAUUGAAUGAUUCAUGAUCAACGUGAAAAUGGAGGGGGAUUCAUGUUGGUGAAUUUUGAUUUGAGAGAUUUAUGCAAAAUUCUGGAAAAAACAAAGACGGUGUUCUUCAUUUUUCAAAGUUUUUGAUCUGAAUUUUUUUUAAGAGUUUGGUUUAGUUUUUUGUUGGUCUGGUGAGAGGGAAUUAUGAAGAUAAUAUAUAUAAUAUAUAAUAUAAUAUAUAUAUAUAAUAUAUAUAUAUUAUAUAAUAUAUAUAUAUAUAUAUAUAUAUAUAUAUAUAUAUAUAAAUAUAUAUAUAUAAUAUAUAUAAUAUAUAUAAUAUAUAAUAAUAUAUAUAUAAUAUAUAAUAAUAUAUAUAUAAUAUAUAUAUAUAUAUUAUAUAUAAUAUAUAUAUAUUAUUAUAUAUAUAUAUAUAUAUAUAUAAUAUAUAUAUUAGAGAGAGAGAGAGAGAGAGAGAGAGAGAGAGAGAGAGAGAGAGAGAGAGAGAGAGAGAGAGAGAGAGAGAGAGAGAGAGAGAGAGAGAGAGAGAGAGAGAGAGAGAGAGAGAGAGAGAGAGAGAGAGAGAGAGAGAGAGAGAGAGAGAGAGAGAGAGAGAGAGAGAGGAGAGAGAGAGAGAGAGAGAGAGAGAGAGAGAGAGGAGAGAGAGAGAGAGAGAGAGAGAGAGAGAGAGAGAGGAGAGAGAGAAGAGAGAGAGAGAGAGAGAGAGAGAGAGAGAGAGAGAGAGAGAGAGAGAGAGAGAGAGAGAGAGAGAGAGAGAGGAGAGAGAGAGAGAGAGAGAGAGAGAGAGAGAGAGAGAGAGAGAGAGAGAGAGAGAGAGAGAGAGAGAGACGAGAGAGAGAAGAGAGAGAGAGAGAGAGGAGAGAGAGAGAAGAGAAGAGAAGAGAAGUAAAAGUGAGGUUUUACGUGAUAACCUCUCUCCUAUUUAUCCAUCCCUAGUCUUUUCCAUGUGCACGCCUUGUUGCUUUAUGGGUCGUCGGAUAUAUUGACUACACACCUUUGAUUUGGGGUCCCAUUAGGGGACCCCCACCAUAACACACUAUGCCUUCUUUCCACGUCCUUAGAUCCAGUUUGUAGAUGAUCUAACGAGUCAUAUUAGAGUCCUUUGUUUGACUCCUUUGGAUGUUCCGUGGGCAUACACCUUGCUUCUUUGUGCUAUCCACCCCCUUGUGUUUUUUUUGCUACUGCGAAUUUUAUUUUUUGGGCCUUUAGCCCAAGUUCUCUUUUUGCUUAUUCAACAUGCACUCCCCAUUAUUUGCACCCCUCUUCCUUAUUUUUUAUUUUUUUAAUUUCUUUUUUGAAAAUCUUAAGAAAAACAUUUUAAUUAAUAUAAUUAAUAUUUCCGUAGCAAAAAAACACUUGAUUAACUAUCAAGAUUUUCAAAAAUGAAUUUCAAAACCAUUCAAAAACCUUUUUAGCAAAUUCAAUCCUUUUUUUUCAAAAUAACACGAAUCAAAAUGCUUGAUCUUUUCAAGCUCUUUUCAAAACUUUAUCAUUUUAAAAACUUUUUCACAAUAAAUAAUCGGAUAAAAAAAGGACUAGUUGAACGUAUUUGUCCCUAUUAGUCUCCGAGUAUUGGGAUAAUGGUCGUGCUUAGUCCACCGCUUGAAUACUCAUCUUCAGUUUUAAUAUACAUUUAAAUAAUCGAAUUUAGUUCAUUCUUUCACGGAUAAAAAAGAUUAGUUGGAUGCACUUGUUCAUCCUAGUCCCGAUUAGUUAUGUGAUGGGCGUACUUAGUCUCCCGUACAAACACUCAUUAUUCGUUAAAGAAAUGUGACCUACUUUGACUAACGAAUUUUAUAAAGAACGUGGACAUAAAAUGAUUAGUUGGAUGUACUUGUCCCUCUUAAUCUCCGAGUAUUUGGAUGAUAUACGUACUUAGCCUCUCGUUUGAGAGUUUGUCAUCCUCCUAAUAGAAACUCAACCUAUCAAAUCUUUUCCUUCUUAGCGCAAUGUCAAACCCAUUUACAAACGAAAGAUGCUUCGUCCAUUCUGAGAUGAUGCAAACAAAGCUUCAAUCCUACCAUGCACAAGAAGUAAGAACGCUUUUCACUCGAAUGCGAUGAAAACAUAACUAUGUGAGAUUCCAAUUUCUGUUGUCCAUUCUGAUGCAACACCAAUGUUCACUUCUCCGUGUUUUGGGUAGUAAUCAAUAUUUUUUGCUCGAAUGUGAACUAACCAUCCUUCGCUAAAAUUGAUUAACCCAUAAACAUUUUUUUACCCAAAACCAUGUAGUAUUGAUUUCCUCAUCGCACCUGAGGAUACAUAGGAGGGAGAUUCAAUGUCUCGUCAAGCACCACAAUAAUAAAAAAAAUCCAAAAAUAUAUUUUUCAUGCCAAGAACUACGUAGCUUUGAAAGGUCUCGAGAAGGAUGUGGUUGUUGCUCGGUUGAAUUCUCACAAAUCCCUUCAACAGGCUAUAGAAGUUGUGUGCAGGGUCUAAGAUGAAAUGUUGGAGCAGGCGCGAGGGGUUUGUCCCGACCUUUCGGUUACCGCUGACUAGCUUAAUCCUUUAGCAUAUGCUAUUGUAAAGGAUAUUGAAAGUGGUCCUAGAGCUUCAGAUUCGGAUGUCAAUGUAUGAAAGCCUUUUUGUUCUUCUUUCUUUGUUUUAUCUGCUCUUGUAAGAUUUGGUUGGGACUUCGUGCCUUGGUUUGUAAACAAUAUAUUUAUAUAUGUAUUUCAUUUAUUACCUUUAGUAUGCUUGUGUUUUUUGUUAUAGUAUUGCUCCUUAUUCAACUGUUAUUAUUGUCUGGCUGGGAUCCAAGGAGAACUAGGAUCCGAGGAGAGCCAAACUUGCUUGGGAAUCCUGUAGUUUGCAUAAUUUGUUUAUUAUAGAGAGUAGUAAAUGAUUUUUUCUUAAAGUGUAAAUUAUCUUAAGUCUUUGUGAGGUCGUGUAUGACUAUUUCUUUUCAGAGUGUGAUGCGCUAAGGAGUUCACAUUUUCUUGAUAUAAUAUCGAGGUAGUAGGGCGUAGCUAUACUCAGAAUGUGCUUGCGUAAAGGAAGCAUUGUCCCUUUUUUUAGAAAGUUUGAAAAAAGGAGUUUAAGUAUGUUUAAUUAUUUUAGGAUUUAUUGAGAAAAAAAGAUUUUCUGGAUCACUUGGCAAAGUCAAGGUUUAUUAAGAAAAGAUAUGAAGUUUGAAAACAAGAGGUUUUUAGAAAUAGGGAGAAGUUUUAAAAAUUGAAGAAGUGGGAAGGAAAUGAAGAGACUAUCUUAGAGCAUAAAAUAAAUGACAUGAAAUAAAAUGUCUCAUCAUAAGGUAGCCCAAGAGAAAGCAUUUGCGUGUGCAAGUGUACUAACCACAAGAUGGAGCAAGCAUUUAACAUUAGUCAAAACAAGCAUUCCUUUCCCUUUGGAUUGAGCCACAAGAUGUAAAAGCACAUAAGCAAAUGAAUAUCAAAAGAUCUAGAUGAAUAACAAAGCCACAAACCCACAAGGAAACAUCCAAGUCUUGAAUUGAAGAUCAAAGGGUCCAUAGGGAUCACAAAGUCUUAGAUACCACUCAAAGCAAGGGAAAACACUAAGUCUUAAGGUCCAAAUUUCGAAAUACUCCUCAAGCAAGGGAUAUUAACAGAAAGUCCAUAGGAUCAGAUUAAAGCUUUUUAGGGUUUUAGCCAUUUUAUCAUUUUUUGUUCUUUUGAAAUAAGAAAGCAAAAAAGGGAAAAAAAGUAAAAGGGAAGAAUGCAAAUUACAUGAAUGUAAAUCAUAUAAAUGUAAAGAGCAUAAAUGUAAAGUUAGGUGUUAGCACAAUUAAUAUGUUAAUGUUAGUGUUAAUAAAUUCAACUGAGUCAGGACAAUUUAGCGCUAUGUUAAGCAAUUGUAAGUGGACUUAUGUAGAAGUCACACCUAUCUGAGACCGGUCAAUAACAAUUUAUGUGUCAAACAUGUUAGAGAAAUGAUACAAAAUCAUUCUCCUAAAAUAAUAUAGUACAAUAGCUAAAAACAAAAGAAAAAGAGAGAUGGAGAUGAGGAGAGACUGGAAAACAAGCUCAAGUCAUCACAAGGGAUUGGUUAUCAUCAAGUCCAAAAGUCCAAAAUAUGAAACACCAAGGGAUGAACCUAUCAUUAGUCCAAAGUGUCAAAAAUGAUCAAAUGGUCAUUUAAAAAACAUGUUUGAAAUGAUGAAGGUUCAACUUAACCAAGGGUCAUCUAUACAAUAAUUAGAAGUGAUGAAGUAUUAAUCAACCAAGUAACUUCUCAAGUCAAACAUAAGUCAAACAAAACUGAAUUAAAUGGCAACUUAAAAUGAUUUUUAAUGGAAAAUAAAGAGAAAAUUCAAAUCAAACACCAAAAAAUAAAAUAAAUGAUUGAGAAAAUUAUGAGAAAUCAAGAAAAAUAUGACUCAUUGGAUCUCAAAAGUUGGAUGGAGAAAUGUUUAAAAGUGAUCAAAAAUAAAAAUUAAAUGAAAAAAUAAUAUAAAACAUCAAUAAAAUGCAAAAAUGAUUUUAAAAAUUAUGCAAAAAAUAUAUGUGAUGCAAAAUAUUUUUAAAGAUUUUGUGUAAAGUUUUUGGAUCAAAGUAAGUUAAAAAUCAAUCAAAAUAAAAUCAUAAAAGGAAAAUAAAAUAAAAUGAAAAUAAAAAUAAAAAAUGUUUGAAUUAGGGCGCCAAUGACUACUUUAUUUGAAAAAGCGCGCACAGGUCAACUUCAUCUUCAACCUUGAUUCAAUUCAUGUAAAUCGUGAACUAAGUGUUUUUAGCAUGAAUCAAGCAAGGAUUCAGCAUCAACAUCCAUCAUCGUCCAUGUCUCUUUGCUUCAGAGUCAUUGAUUGGAUCUGAGCAAAGAGAAUUUUCUCAAGAACACGAAGAACCCUAGUUCUUUAAAGCAAAGUUAAAUGAUGAAUACAAAGAAUAAAUUCUAGGUAAGUGACGACUUUUGAUCAGUGAAUCAAGACAAAGAGACGGGUAACUCGUUUGCUCAGAAAUUUAACUCGUAUCUACCC
rnacentral:lncRNA from 1 species